UAUGAUUGCUUAGUGGAAGAU
ensembl:piRNA 21ur-10152 ncRNA